rnacentral:lncRNA from 1 species
UAAAGUUGUAAUAUUGCAAUCUGAUAAAAUUUAUCNNNNNNNNNNNNNNNNNNNNNNNNNNNNNNNNNNNNNNNNNNNNNNUGGACAGAGGAGCCUGGUAGGCUACAGUCUAUGGGGUCGCAAAGAGUCGACAUGACUAAAGUCGGAAGUGACUGAGUGACUUCACUUUCACUUUCACUUUCAAAAGGAACAUGCUGUAUGAGAAAGAUAAAAACUCAGCCAAUAAGAUAAUAUAUUUAAUAAAAUAUUGUUUCACAAGUUCUUAAAAACUUUCAAAUAUUAUUUCACACGAUCCUCAUAAGAACAUUGUAUAGUAAUCUGAAUAGGUUUAAAAUCUACCUGUGAGCAUGAGGAAACUGACACUCAGAGAGGGCGUGACUUACCUAAUGUCACAUGGAUAGAAUGAGAUGGGGCUGGGAUGAUGACCUAGUCUUGUCGCUUCAGUGAGUUCUCUUUCCACAGGCGUUUCUUUUACUGAGAAAAGANNNNNNNNNNNUUUAUUUAUCUUUCAAGAAAAUUUAAAAUUUACAGGUUAUCAACUCAGAAAAAAAAAUCUCUAAACUAUUUUGGAACAUAAGCAUUCCCUGAAAUUAAUUCCCCCGGUUAGUGUCUUGAGUUGGUUACAGUUGAGUUGGCUACAAUCCAAUCUUGAAAUGUUAUUCUUCUGAAGAGAGGCUGGGAUAAUCAGGCAAUGAAGGUGAGCAACCGCACAAUCUACUUACGGUACUUUGUGGUGCUUAGAGAUAAGAGUCACUACAAGUCCUGAAGUAUCAGAGGCUUUGACUUCUGUAAAUGCGAAGGGACCCUGCAUAAGGCAUUUCUAAGAGAUUAACUUGGUUUUCUAAGUGAGAAAUGGAACCUCAGAUGCAAUAAAAUUAUGGAAGUGUUGGUGUUUGUUCUUAAUCCAAAUCAAUAAUUUAAUCCUCAUAUAGAUUUGAGAAUCAAUGUUUUAUUUUAUUUUUAAUAUAAAAAUCAAUCUUUGGGGACAACCACAACCUUUACAUGAAUAUUUUUAUCUCCUGAAAUAGUGUCAAGAAUAUAUCUUUAUAAUCUUUAAACGAAGAUGUGAAUUCUAGGGGAAUAGCAAGCUGACACUACAAACAGACAGCAUCCAGGAUGCCCGAGACAUGCAAAUGGAAAAU